AGAGUUUGAUCCUGGCUCAGGAUGAACGCUAGCGGGAGGCCUAACACAUGCAAGCCGAGCGGUAGAGAUUCUUCGGAAUCUUGAGAGCGGCGUACGGGUGCGGAACACGUGUGCAACCUGCCUUUAUCAGGGAGAUAGCCUUUCGAAAGGAAGAUUAAUAUCCCAUAAUAUAUUAAGUGGCAUCACUUGAUAUUGAAAACUACGGUGGAUAGAGAUGGGCACGCGCAAGAUUAGAUAGUUGGUGAGGUAACGGCUCACCAAGUCUACGAUCUUUAGGGGGCCUGAGAGGGUGAUCCCCCACACUGGUACUGAGACACGGACCAGACUCCUACGGGAGGCAGCAGUGAGGAAUAUUGGACAAUGGGUGAAAGCCUGAUCCAGCCAUCCCGCGUGAAGGACGACGGCCCUAUGGGUUGUAAACUUCUUUUGUAUAGGGAUAAACCUAGAUACGUGUAUCUAGCUGAAGGUACUAUACGAAUAAGCACCGGCUAACUCCGUGCCAGCAGCCGCGGUAAUACGGAGGGUGCAAGCGUUAUCCGGAUUUAUUGGGUUUAAAGGGUCCGUAGGCGGAUCUGUAAGUCAGUGGUGAAAUCUCACAGCUUAACUGUGAAACUGCCAUUGAUACUGCAGGUCUUGAGUGUUGUUGAAGUAGCUGGAAUAAGUAGUGUAGCGGUGAAAUGCAUAGAUAUUACUUAGAACACCAAUUGCGAAGGCAGGUUACUAAGCAACAACUGACGCUGAUGGACGAAAGCGUGGGGAGCGAACAGGAUUAGAUACCCUGGUAGUCCACGCCGUAAACGAUGCUAACUCGUUUUUGGAUUUUCGGAUUCAGAGACUAAGCGAAAGUGAUAAGUUAGCCACCUGGGGAGUACGUUCGCAAGAAUGAAACUCAAAGGAAUUGACGGGGGCCCGCACAAGCGGUGGAUUAUGUGGUUUAAUUCGAUGAUACGCGAGGAACCUUACCAAGGCUUAAAUGGGAAAUGACAGGUUUAGAAAUAGACUUUUCUUCGGACAUUUUUCAAGGUGCUGCAUGGUUGUCGUCAGCUCGUGCCGUGAGGUCCUGCAACGAGCGCAACCCCUGUCACUAGUUGCCAUCAUUAAGUUGGGGACUCUAGUGAGACUGCCUACGCAAGUAGAGAGGAAGGUGGGGAUGACGUCAAAUCAUCACGGCCCUUACGCCUUGGGCCACACACGUAAUACAAUGGCCAGUACAGAGGGCAGCUACACAGCGAUGUGAUGCAAAUCUCGAAAGCUGGUCUCAGUUCGGAUUGGAGUCUGCAACUCGACUCUAUGAAGCUGGAAUCGCUAGUAAUCGCGCAUCAGCCAUGGCGCGGUGAAUACGUUCCCGGGCCUUGUACACACCGCCCGUCAAGCCAUGGAAGUCUGGGGUACCUGAAGUCGGUGACCGUAACAGGAGCUGCCUAGGGUAAAACAGGUAACUAGGGCUAAGUCGUAACAAGGUAACC
rnacentral:rRNA from 1 species